rnacentral:tRNA from 1 species
GCCCCUGUAGCUCAGCAGGUAGAGCACAUGACUGUUAAUCAUGGGGUCGACGGUUCGAGUCCGUCCAGGGGCG